AUGCUACGAUGAGGGCAUUUUUGUAAUAACUCCUUGAAUAGCUCUCAUGCCUCAUAUAAAGAUUCUUCAUCAAGUUGCCGAAAUGAAGUGAUUUCAAUUUGUUC
rfam:Gossypium raimondii chromosome 3, whole genome shotgun sequence.